GCUCUGCAAGUCGAGCGGGGGAAGGUAGCUUGCUACUGGACCUAGCGGCGGACGGGUGAGUAAUGCUUAGGAAUCUGCCUAUUAGUGGGGGACAACAUCUCGAAAGGGAUGCUAAUACCGCAUACGUCCUACGGGAGAAAGCAGGGGAUCUUCGGACCUUGCGCUAAUAGAUGAGCCUAAGUCGGAUUAGCUAGUUGGUGGGGUAAAGGCCUACCAAGGCGACGAUCUGUAGCGGGUCUGAGAGGAUGAUCCGCCACACUGGGACUGAGACACGGCCCAGACUCCUACGGGAGGCAGCAGUGGGGAAUAUUGGACAAUGGGGGGAACCCUGAUCCAGCCAUGCCGCGUGUGUGAAGAAGGCCUUAUGGUUGUAAAGCACUUUAAGCGAGGAGGAGGCUACUUUAGUUAAUACCUAGAGAUAGUGGACGUUACUCGCAGAAUAAGCACCGGCUAACUCUGUGCCAGCAGCCGCGGUAAUACAGAGGGUGCGAGCGUUAAUCGGAUUUACUGGGCGUAAAGCGUGCGUAGGCGGCUUAUUAAGUCGGAUGUGAAAUCCCCGAGCUUAACUUGGGAAUUGCAUUCGAUACUGGUGAGCUAGAGUAUGGGAGAGGAUGGUAGAAUUCCAGGUGUAGCGGUGAAAUGCGUAGAGAUCUGGAGGAAUACCGAUGGCGAAGGCAGCCAUCUGGCCUAAUACUGACGCUGAGGUACGAAAGCAUGGGGAGCAAACAGGAUUAGAUACCCUGGUAGUCCAUGCCGUAAACGAUGUCUACUAGCCGUUGGGGCCUUUGAGGCUUUAGUGGCGCAGCUAACGCGAUAAGUAGACCGCCUGGGGAGUACGGUCGCAAGACUAAAACUCAAAUGAAUUGACGGGGGCCCGCACAAGCGGUGGAGCAUGUGGUUUAAUUCGAUGCAACGCGAAGAACCUUACCUGGCCUUGACAUACUAGNAACUUUCCAGANAUGGAUUGGUGCCUUCGGAAUCUAGAUACGGCUGCAUGGCUGUCGUCAGCUCGUGCGUGAGAUUGGGUUAAG
rnacentral:rRNA from 1 species